rnacentral:rRNA from 1 species
CCUACGGGUGGCAGCAGUAGGGAAUAUUGCUCAAUGGGGGAAACCCUGAAGCAGCAACGCCGCGUGGAGGAUGAAGGUUUUCGGAUUGUAAACUCCUUUUGUUAGAGAAGAUAAUGACGGUAUCUAACGAAUAAGCACCGGCUAACUCCGUGCCAGCAGCCGUGGUAAUACGGAGGGUGCAAGCGUUAUUCGGAAUCACUGGGCGUAAAGAGGGCGUAGGCGGGUUAGCAAGUCAGAUGUGAAAUUCUAUGGCUUAACCAUAGAACUGCAUUUGAAACUGUUAUUCUAGAGAAUGGGAACGGUAGGUGGAAUGUUUGGUGUAGGGGUAAAAUCCGUAGAGAUCAAAAAGAAUACUCAUUGCGAAGGCGACCUACUAGAACAUAACUGACGCUGAUGCGCGAAAGCGUGGGGAGCAAACAGGAUUAGAUACCCCGGUAGUC